AGGGGGUUCGUGUGUGGAUCUCGUCAGCAUAUCGUCGCAAAUAGGUAAUCCCCAACCAUAGUGGGCUUGGAGCUGUGAGGGAAUUCGGAGUGGCCACCCGUUCUGAAAGUUUGAUUUUCUUCUGGUGAACUGGACAUCCUUUUAUUUACGUUUGAAUUUUUGGGUUUUUUAAAUGUAAUAAGGCCGCUUAAUUAUUUUUGAUGGUUUUAAUAUGUAUUACUAAGAUAGGUAUUACUUAUUUUAACUGUUGAAAUUGGAUAGCUUUAGGGCGCGUUUUCAAAAACAACAAUUGAUUUCAAAAUAACACAACAACAAGCAAAGCUUCCGUAAUGAAAGUAUUUUCCAAAAUUAAUCACUUCUCCUAAAAA